rfam:Candidatus Magnetoglobus multicellularis str. Araruama Cont622, whole genome shotgun sequence.
AAAGUCCUACCUGCUCUUGGUUUAACCAACUGAAGGGCAGUAGUGAACCCCACGUGCAUUUCCAGUAAUGGUAUGUAUGAAGCUGGGGGAAUCAUGGAUUCAGGCCGCGUUAUUGAGCCUCGAAAAUAACCUGGUCGUGGUCUGUUAAGAUAAUCAUUUGAUUGCCAAAUGGCCGUCAAGUGAAAAAGUCGACACUUUCAAAUGAGUGGAAGGCUAAAGUCUGGGGAUCGUUUUGGUUAGAUUCUCUGACACCACCGUGGUCUGAGAGCG